GCCCCCUCUCAUUGUCUCGCCCACCCCCAGGACUAUGGAUGCAGCAAUGGCCCUGCUGUUCCAUGAAGGGGUGUGGUGUACGACACCCUAAAUUCAAGUUAUUUGCAGUGAAAUCCUAACCACAGAUGCUCAGAAAUGAGUACUUUUGAAUUCCCAGGUAAGUGGACUGCAGCUUAACUCUGGUUCCAAACCAGUGUCUUUAAGUUUAUCUUAAGGAAAAAUUUAAGGAGAUUAUGUAGUUAAUGACCAGCCAGCCUUGCUUGAUGAUUCCAUCUUUCUGUAAUGUGAAAAUAAACAAAGUUAAAGCAUUUCAGUAGAAUAAAAUAAGACUUCCACACCUUUUCAGUGUCACUUCAUCCCAACGUAUACAAGAACAUGUAAAUUUGAUGCAGGAUUUAAAAUAAGUAUCAAACAGUUGUUUUAAUAAAUGGUGUCCCGCCCCCCCCAGUCCAGCAUUCCUUUCCUACCAGAACUGACAUAGAAAUCAAAUUUGCACCCACCCAGCACAUCCCAUAAGUAUGGGAGGAUCCCAACAUACACUUAUAAUCAAUUAAAAUGUAAUGAACUUUGCUUUAAGAUCUGCUUGUGAAUGGCCCCUACAUGUUGCAUAAUUAAGACCUCCUCCGCCAAUCCUCAAUUUCUCCCUCUCCCAAACAAACUCUCACAACAACAUGUUAAAGAAUGUUCUUGCUUUGAGGUGCCAUUAAAGAAAAGGGGGGCAUAAUGCAUUUCUUUGUUCGUGAAAAGGGGCAAUUAUAAACAAGGAGCAACCUAGCUAUUAAAGGGGUCCCUUUAAGAGGUCUCCCAGCUCACAGAAAGAUGGAGGCUUUCAGCUUAGGUGGGGGAGGGAGGAGAGACACUUUCAAGAGGAUCUUUAUCUCUUUGGGUGGGGGAAAUCUCUGUAUAAUUGUUACUGGACCAGCCGAUCUCUUUAAAAUACAUUUGGGAGCUGCACAGAAUCCUUCUGUAGACUUUUGCAUUCCCCCAAGAGGGAGUAGAGGACUCCGCUGGGUAACCAUCGGUCUGGCUGUGCAAUGCUUGCGAGUGCUCUCAGCAUAUUUGGAAUGGGGUGUGGGUGUGUCUCCCUUUGCUGCUGCUCUCACUGUUGCAUCUUACGCUGUGUACACAUUACCAGCUUAGAAGGCAGCUAGGUCGUUAUUUUUCUCAAUUCCAAUCGAAGCUGGGGGAUGGGGGACACACACACAUCAAAGUGCAGUAAAAGAAACUAUGGAUGGCGGCUACCGUCGUAUGUACAUUGCUUCCCCAAACCAGCAGUGGAAACACCAUGGGUGCAGAGUAAAUGGGAAUGCAAACACAGCCUUAAGUCUUUCCCUUUGCUUUCCUUGCUGCCUGUUUUUGGCCCACCAGUACUGCAAACAUAUACACUGUCAUUUACGGUUGUGCCCCAGGUAGGGGUGUGUGUGUGUGUGUGUGUGUGUGAGAGAGAGAGAGAGAGAGAGAGAGAGAGAGAGAGAACAGAAAGAUUCCUUUGCUGGAAAAGACCAAAGCACCAUCUCAGCCAAUAUAUGCUAUCUUUCAUUUAUUUAUUACACAUCUAUCUCCCCCUUUCAUCUAAGGCGCUCAAGGUGGUUUACAUAGUUCUUCUCUUUCCUCAUUUUAUGUUCACAAAAAAGAAGGCUCAGGUAGGCUAGGCUGAGAGACUGUGACUGCUCCAGGCCAGGGUCACCCUGUGAGCUUCAUGGCUGGGUGGGGACUUAGACUCUGAUCUUCUGGGUCCCAGUCCAACAUCACACUAGCUCUUUCCCUGUUACUUCUAUUAAGGAAUGACUGCCGCUUGAUGGCAGUGCACAGGUUCAACCCCUACGUGCCACAAAAAGAGCUGGGAAAGACUCCUUUCUGGAUUUCUGGAGAGCUGAUGCCAAUCAGUGUAGAUAAGACUAAGUUAGAUGGAUGAAGGUGUAAGACAGACUCUUAUGUUCCUAUCUGAUCUGAUAAUCAAAGGUAUACUGCCUUGGACUAUAGAAAUUCUGUUCUGAGUGAUCAUGACUUAACAGCUGUUGAUCCUCCUCUCCAUUGUGGGUUCCACUUGGCUUUCACCGUCCCUCUGUCAAGAUGUCUAAUCUGUGUUUAAAAAGCUAUUCCCAGCAUCCUGGAGAAGCAAAUCCCAUGAUUUAAUUAGGCGUUGUACUUCCUCUCCUUCUAAGGAGUCGGCAUAGACAAAACUGAUAUAUGUUUUUAUUACUGUUUCUUAGACUGUUGUAAGCCUCGCUGGGACCUCAUGGCGAAAGGCAGUUAAGAAAUCUAGAUGAUGAUGAUGAUGAUGAUGCCACCAGCAGGCAUACCAUUUCCUGUCACAGUGCUGCAAGGAUGGGAGAACUUAUACUUAAUUGGUUCAGAUGGU